UAGGGAAUCUUCCACAAUGGACGAAAGUCUGAUGGAGCAACGCCGCGUGAGUGAUGAAGGGUUUCGGCUCGUAAAACUCUGUUGUUGGAGAAGAACGGGUGUCAGAGUAACUGUUGACAUCGUGACGGUAUCCAACCAGAAAGCCACGGCUAACUACGUGCCAGCAGCCGCGGUAAUACGUAGGUGGCAAGCGUUGUCCGGAUUUAUUGGGCGUAAAGCGAGCGCAGGCGGUUUUUUAGGUCUGAUGUGAAAGCCUUCGGCUUAACCGGAGAAGUGCAUCGGAAACCGGGAGACUUGAGUGCAGAAGAGGACAGUGGAACUCCAUGUGUAGCGGUGAAAUGCGUAGAUAUAUGGAAGAACACCAGUGGCGAAGGCGGCUGUCUGGUCUGCAACUGACGCUGAGGCUCGAAAGCAUGGGUAGCGAACAGGAUUAGAUACCCUGGUAGUCCAUGCCGUAAACGAUGAGUGCUAAGUGUUGGAGGGUUU
rnacentral:rRNA from 1 species